rnacentral:rRNA from 1 species
UACGAAGGGGGCUAGCGUUGUUCGGAUUUACUGGGCGUAAAGCGCACGUAGGCGGAUCGUUAAGUCGGGGGUGAAAUCCUGGAGCUCAACUCCAGAACUGCCUUCGAUACUGGCGAUCUUGAGUCCGGAAGAGGUGAGUGGAACUCCUAGUGUAGAGGUGGAAUUCGUAGAUAUCAGGAGGAACACCUGUGGCGAAAGCGGCUCACUGGACCACAACUGACGCUGAGGCGCGAAAGCUAGGGGAGCAAACAGG